UGACCUCAAAUCAGGUAGGACUACCCGCUGAACUUAAGCAUAUCAAUAAGCGGAGGAAAAGAAACUAACAAGGAUUCCCCUAGUAACUGCGAGUGAAGCGGGAAAAGCUCAAAUUUAAAAUCUGGCGGUCUUCGAUCGUCCGAGUUGUAGUCUGGAGAAGCGUCUUCCGCGCUGGACCGUGUACAAGUCUCUUGGAACAGAGCGUCGUAGAGGGUGAGAAUCCCGUCUUUGACACGGACUACCAGUGCUUCGUGAUGCGCUCUCAAAGAGUCGAGUUGUUUGGGAAUGCAGCUCAAAAUGGGUGGUAAAUUCCAUCUAAAGCUAAAUAUUGGCGAGAGACCGAUAGCGAACAAGUACCGUGAGGGAA
rnacentral:rRNA from 1 species